UACGUAGGGUGCAGGCGUUAAUCGGAAUUACUGGGCGUAAAGCGUGCGCAGGCGGUUUCUUAAGUCAGAUGUGAAAGCCCCGGGCUUAACCUGGGAACUGCGUUUGAAACUGGGAGACUUGAGUGUGGCAGAGGGGGGUGGAAUUCCACGUGUAGCAGUGAAAUGCGUAGAUAUGUGGAGGAAUACCGAUGGCGAAGGCAGCCCCCUGGGCCAAUACUGACGCUCAUGCACGAAAGCGUGGGGAGCAAACAGG
rnacentral:rRNA from 1 species